CAUUGUCAGCGAAGCUUUUCUUCAUUUUGAUGAAUCACCAGUUAUAAAAAACCUUUAGUGUGUAUAUCUGGAUCUUGUGGUCCCUGUGUGACUAUUAGAAUGAAGAGACUUGAAGAAUGAAGAGUGAGCAAAGCCAGACCUUCAUGAUCCUGAUGUUCACGAUCCAUGGUACUAUUCAGAGAGAACACAACAGCGUUAUUCGAAGUACACCACUGAGUAGAGGAACUGCUUUCUGAGGAGUUACAACCCAUUGUUAUUUAAAUAAGGAACAUCUAUGACAUCUCUUCUGCCAACAGGAUCUCCUUUACAUAACCUACACAGAAGAAAGACUGAAGAAAAACAACAUUUACAAAGUAAUCCCAAAGGUUGUGUUGCGUCAGGAAUACAAAUAUGAAUAAGACACAAUCCAUGGACUAAGAAGCUUCAAAUUCAGGGGGAGGGCACUAAUGUUUUCUAUCUUGUACAUUUUAAUUUCAAAGUAAGAAAUAUAAAGAUUGUAAUUAAUAAACUAUAGCUGGGCAUUUGGAUCUGAUGCUAAAAAGAGAAGUCUUUAAAUAAAGUUUGAAGUCAGUAAGAUCCAUCUGAUUGUUGAAGAAAUGAUGACGACUGAAAUUGUCCAGGAAAUACAUACAGAAGAGAAGCAAUGGUGGGAGAGGAAAGAGAGCCAAAGAAAGAAUAUAAGAACAACCAAGCCAAUUGGCAUAAGCAAAUCAAGAGAGAGCAGUGUGUAGUGGGACAUACAGGAGCAGAGGUUUUCAAGAAGCAGAGAGGAUUGACCUUCUCAGUUGCUGUGAGAGAGACGGUACCCUGAGGACUGAGAAUAAGCCAUUGACAACUCCAGCCAAUUACAUUCAUCUUUGAGACACCCAUUCUACAGCAAGGGGAACGGGUUAGGAGAGUCAAGAAGGCUGAUUUCUCAAAUGUGGUGAGAGAGAGAGUGGUGCUAGCUCAAUAAGAAGUCACGGUUAAAAGAAAGUUUGCUUAAUGGUGGAAAAAUUCUACUCAAAUAUUUUUAUGAGUGAUGGGUAAAAGCCAAUGGAAAAAGAGACAUUUAAAACCUGAAAAGAAAAGGACAGAACAAGCUACAGGAGAGGGUUGGAACAGGAUCGAGAGUCUAAGCACAGGUGUUCAGUGUGAGAGGAAGCUUGAGCACCUCUUCCUCUGAAACAGGAGGAAACUUUGAAGGUAUGGUGUUGUGGGUAACUUUGGAGGUAAGGCAGGGCACUAAAGGAGAUCUGUUGGGGCCAGAGAGGAGGACGAUGAAACACAGACUUAACAGAAAGGAGCUGAACUUCAGCUGUGAAAGAGAAUAGUCAGCCAGCUAGAGAUGAAUAAAUGCCUUUUCCAGAAGCACCUAACGACAUGGGUGUGUGCAUUCCCACCAUUAACAGUUGCCAUGUAAAAAGAAAUAUUCCUUGCCUGAGACUAAAGGAAUCAGAAUUUUCAGGAGUGUAUGUCUGUGACUAUAUAUACAUAUACAUAUUUUUACACAGGCAUAUAUGUAGAUAUAUAUAUAUGCACAUAUACAUGCGUAUAUAAUUAAAUAUAUAUAAUAUGCAAUGUAUAUUAUUAAUAUAUUAUUGAUGUGUAUUAGAGAGGGGGAGAGAGACGGACAGACAAACAAACAGGCUCAUUCUUUUCUAAAAUUCUAAGGCAGAUAUUUCCAUGUAGUUAUUCUGAUGUCAUUAAAAGUCAGAAAAAGUGAGCGCUUUACUAGGGUUAGGAGAAAUUUACUUCUAUAAACUUUGCUACCUUGCUUGGGAAAGGAGUUCUAACCAUUUAUUAGAAGAUAAUACAUUUAAAGAUUUCCCCAAAUAGUAUCUAUUUGGUAGUCUAAUGAUGGAGUGUGUAACAGCUGUAAGUACAUUAAAGUGUUUCUGGCAAAGUAAACAUCUAUUUUGUAUUAAAUAUGUUAGAAAAAUCAAAACCGGGUUUUAAAAAAUAUGCUUUUUUAAUUGCUCAUUUUUAGAGAUUGAGCAUUUUAAAGCAGUUACUCAUAGGAUGUGCUUUAUCGUUAUUAAAUAUUAUAAUUCAAUAUAUAAUUAAAUAAUAGGACCAGUAAAGAAAAGACAAUGUGUAGUAAUAAUGUAUUUUCUCUCUAUAAGAAGAAUGAUGCUGUUUCUUAGGAGUGCGACCUCUCUGUUUCUCCAGCGUCGCUGGCUCUUUCAGGCAUUGUGAUCCUGCUCUUGCUCUUUUUUCGUCCUGGAAGGCUCUGCCAGGGAUGUAGCAUGACUGGUUGUGUCGUUCGUGUCUCAGACUGCGUGUCAGCAAAACCUCCCUUGACUGUCUAUCUAAAAGCUUCCCUCCCACCCGCUGCUCAGUCUGUUGUGACUCUGGGUUUUCUUUGGAGCUUUAUCAUUGGUCAAGAUUAUCUUGUCGUUCAUUUGCUUGCCUGUUUGUUUAUUGUGUGUAUCCCUUGAUUACCAUGUAAUUCUAGGAGGGC
rnacentral:lncRNA from 1 species